rnacentral:rRNA from 1 species
GAGGCUUGUAUGAAUGGUUGAAUGAGAUAAAAAUUGUUUUAAUAUAAGUAAAAUUGAAUUUUAAAUUUUAAUAAAAAUGUUAAAAUAAACAUAAAAGACGAGAAGACCCUAUAAAUCUUUAUUUUUAGAUUAGUUAUAUGUUUGUUUUAUAUUUUUUAUAUAAUUAUUUUAAAAAUUUUAUUGGGGUGAUAGUGAAAUUUAAUAAACUUUUAUAAAAGUUUUAUACUUAUAGGUAAAUAAUUGAUCCAUUUUUAAUGAUUAAUAAAAUAAGUUACUUUAGGGAUAACAGC